rnacentral:rRNA from 1 species
AAAAUGGAGAGUUUGAUCCUGGCUCAGGAUGAACGCUGGCGGUCUGCUUAACACAUGCAAGUCGAACGCAACCUUUCGGGGUUGAGUGGCGGACGGGUGAGUAACGCGUGAGAAUCUGCCUUUAGGUCCGGGACAACCACUGGAAACGGUGGCUAAUACCCGAUGUGCCCUUGGGUGAAAGAUUUAUUGCCAGAAGAGGAGCUCGCGU